rnacentral:rRNA from 5 species
CACCAUGGGAGUGGGUUGCAAAAGAAGUAGGUAGCUUAACCUUCGGGAGGGCGCUUACCACUUUGUGAUUCAUGACUGGGGUGAAGUCGUAACAAGGUAACCGUAGGGGAACCUGCGGUUGGAUCACCUCCUUACCUUAAAGAA